rnacentral:tRNA from 1 species
CGGAAGUUAGCUCACUUGGUAGAGCAGUUGACUCAUAAUCAACCUGUAACAGGUUCAAAUCCUGUACUUUCACACA